rnacentral:rRNA from 1 species
GAUGAACGCUAGCGGCAGGCCUAACACAUGCAAGUCGAGGGAGAAGCCCUUUCGGGGGCAGAAACCGGCGCACGGGUGCGUAACGCGUAUGCAACCUACCUUUCACAGGGGGAUAGCCCGAAGAAAUUUGGAUUAAUACCCCAUAAUAUUGUUGGAUGGCAUCAUCUGAUAAUUAAAGCUACGACGGUGGAAGAUGGGCAUGCGUCCUAUUAGCUAGUUGGAGUGGUAACGGCACCCCAAGGCUACGAUAGGUAGGGGUCCUGAGAGGGAGAUCCCCCACACUGGUACUGAGACAGGGACCAGACUCCUACGGGAGGCAGCAGUGAGGAAUAUUGGUCAAUGGUCGGAAGACUGAACCAGCCAUGCCGCGUGCAGGAAGAAUGCCUUAUGGGUUGUAAACUGCUUUUAUAUGGGAAGAAUAAGGCGUACGUGUACGUGA